UCUCCCGACAAUUUCA
rnacentral:sRNA from 1 species